CAGAUAACAGACCAAGAAGCUAUCUAUUAAAAGACAUAUGAAGGCAGCCCUGUUCAGGGACGUUUUUAGUGUUUGAUGUUUUAUUGUCUUUUUACUGUUUUUGGUUGAGAGCCAUCCAAAGUGGCUGGGGCAAUCCAGUCAGAUGAGCGGCAUAACAACAACAACAACAACGAGGGACAAGUGUCAAUGAAGACAGAGCAGCAGUCUGGUAAAUGCAAAGCAGCGGCCUGUAGUCUGUCUCAACAAUAAAUUGCUCAGAAGAAGGAUGUAUGGCAAACCUCAAGAGUAGGAAAUGUGGUGGGAUUGGAACAUAGGAAGCUAUCUCCUAUACCUAGUCAGACCACAGAUCCAUCUCGCUCAAAACUGUCUACUACGAAGCAGUUUUUCAGAGUCUCAGACAGAAGCCUUUCCCAGUUCUACCACAAGAUGCUGGGGAUUAAACCUAGGCUUUUGUACACAGAACCUGUGGUCUUCCAUUGACCCACAGUAAUUCCAAUACUGUACAUUUGAUCACCUAACCUGACCCAAGCACAGGAAGUUUGUUGGGCAAUAACAGGGGCCCCCAGCUGAGCCCUGCAGUCUUUGAUAGUAACUUAUCUUUCCCAUAUUAUCCAAUGAGUGGGGUCAUCUGGAGUUCUGGAGUACCUUGUCAGCAAUAUGCUGAUGACAUACAGCUCUACUUUUCCUUUGCAUCUGCAGGUAUGGCAGUGGAUGAGCUGGAAUAUUGUCGUGCCUCACUAACGGACUGGAUGAAAGCCAACAAACUGAAGCUCAAUCCAGAUAAGACUGAAGGUAGGAGGUUGCCUGCACUUGACGGGGUUACACUCCCUUUUAAGGAGCGGGUAUGUAGUUUGGGGGUACUCCUGGAUCCUUCGCUAUUGCAUGAGACCCAGGUGGCCUUGGUUGUGUGGACUGCCUUCCAUCAGCUUUGGCUGGUGGCCAUACUGCGCCUCUAUCAGGACAUGGAU